ACUCGUUCCGGCAGGUCAAGGUCUUUCCUGUACUGGGGACCCCAGAGCUGGAUGCAGUACUCUAGAGAUCAUGAGAUUGCUUUAGUAUCUGCUGGCUUUAGGGUAUUUACAUUACCACUCAGUUCAUUAUAUAGAAAGGCAGAGCAAGAUUCUCUCUGAAGGCUGCCCCUUUCUGAAGAAAGUUAGUUUUUGAGAAGCAGCAGUAUUUCUGGGAAGAAGGAACUUGCUUUAAGGAUACCAGAGAGAACUCAGCAUCUCCCUCUCAGAGAGCAGUGAGAUCAUCCCUCAGCCUACCUUUUUCCAAACUAGACAAGCCUGGUGAACACAGCUGCUCCUCGUGGGACAUUCCUUCCAACCUUGUUACCAGCUUUGUUGCCCUCCUCUGGACACAUUCAAGGACCUUCACAUUCUUCUUAAACUGUGGGGCC